UAAUUAUCCUUCCUUUUUGGGGUGCUUUU
rnacentral:piRNA from 1 species